rnacentral:rRNA from 1 species
AUUGAACGCUGGCGGCAGGCCUAACACAUGCAAGUCGAACGGUAACAGGAAGAAGCUUGCUUCUUUGCUGACGAGUGGCGGACGGGUGAGUAAUGUCUGGGAAACUGCCUGAUGGAGGGGGAUAACUACUGGAAACGGUAGCUAAUACCGCAUAACGUCGCAAGACCAAAGAGGGGGACCUUCGGGCCUCUUGCCAUCGGAUGUGCCCAGAUGGGAUUAGCUAGUAGGUGGGGUAACGGCUCACCUAGGCGACGACCCCUAGCUGGUCUGAGAGGAUGACCAGCCACAAUGGAACUGAGACACGGUCCAGACUCCUACGGGAGGCAGCAGUGGGGAAUAUUGCACAAUGGGCGCAAGCCUGAUGCAGCCAUGCCGCGUGUAUGAAGAAGGCCUUCGGGUUGUAAAGUACUUUCAGCGGGGAGGAAGGGAGUAAAGUUAAUACCUUUGCUCAUUGACGUUACCCGCAGAAGAAGCACCGGCUAACUCCGUG